CGUAAAGACGCAUGCAGGUGGUUUGUUAAGUCAGAUGUGAAAGGACCCGGGGCGUCAACCUACCGGUAAGUUGCAUUUAGUAAACUGGACAAACUAAGAGUACUGUAGAGGGGGGUAGGAAUUUCAGGUGUAGCGGUGAAAUGCGUAGAGAUCUGAAGGAAUACCGGUGGCGAAGGCGGCCCCCUGGACAGAUACUGACACUCAGAUGCGAAAGCGUGGGGAGCAAACAGGAUUAGAUACCCUGGUAG
rnacentral:rRNA from 1 species